GACGAACGCUGGCGGCGUGCUUAACACAUGCAAGUCGAACGGAAAGGCCCUGCUUUUGUUGGGUGCUCGAGUGGCGAACGGGUGAGUAACACGUGAGUAACCUGCCCUUGACUUUGGGAUAACUUCAGGAAACUGGGGCUCAUACCGGAUAUGAGCUCCUGCUGCAUGGUGUUGUUUGGAAAGUUUCGGCGGUUGGGGAUGGACUCGCGGCUUAUCCGCUUGUUGGUGGGGUAGUGGCUUACCAAGGCUUUGACGGGUAGCCGGCCUGAGAGGGUGACCGGCCACAUUGGGACUGAGAUACGGCCCAGACUCCUACGGGAGGCAGCAGUGGGGAAUAUUGCACAAUGGGCGGAAGCCUGAUGCAGCAACGCCGCGUGCGGGAUGACGGCCUUCGGGUUGUAAACCGAUUUCGCCUGUGACGAAGCGUGAGUGACGGUAAUGGGUAAAGAAGCACCGGCUAACUACGUG
rnacentral:rRNA from 1 species